AUUUUAUAGUUUACCAGUUGAUGUUUGCAAGCUCCCGUGAAUGGUACCCUUUGAAUUUAUCUUAAAACAUGCGAACUUACAUGAAGUACAUCAUGUCAUUGGGUCCAUUAGUCACUGUGGAUACGGUGGAUACCAAAUCAUUCCAACUAACGUAGAAAAAUUUUAAAAGCUUUACUUCCUGUUUUGUAGUUAUGAAUGUGGAAUGCUCUGUAACACGCAUUAUUCAUUUUUAUGAAUCAUUAUAAUUCAAAAAGAGUCUGAAUGUCACAAUGUGUUUAAUUGCUGAGAAAUUCUUUAAAAAGUGCUUAAAAAAUAGAGAGAAUAAAAUACAACUUUAUUAAUGUUUUUGUGAUUUCAACCUUUUUGUCUA